rnacentral:rRNA from 1 species
UACGAAGGACCCAAGCGUUAUCCGGAUUUAUUGGGUUUAAAGGGUGCGUAGGCGGAUUAUUAAGUCAGUGGUGAAAGCCUUCAGCUUAACUGAAGAACUGCCAUUGAUACUGAUGAUCUUGAAUAUGAUUGAGGUGGGCGGAAUGUGUCAUGUAGCGGUGAAAUGCUUAGAUAUGACAUAGAACACCAAUUGCGAAGGCAGCUUACUACGGAUGUAUUGACACUGAGGCACGAAAGCGUGGGGAUCAAACAGG